rnacentral:rRNA from 1 species
UCUGUAGGUGGCUUCCCAAGUCAACUGUCAAAAAUCAGGGCUUAACCUUGAGCCGGCAGUUGAAACUAUGAAGCUUGAGUUAGGUAGGGGCAGAGGGAAUUCCUAGUGUAGCGGUGAAAUGCGUAGAUAUUAGGAAGAACACCGAUCGCGAAAGCACUCUGCUGGGCCAUGACUGACACUGAGAGACGAAAGCUAAGGGAGCAAAUG